ACACAGAGACACACACACACACACACUCUCUCUCUCUCUCUCUCUCUCUCUAUAUAUAUAUAUAUAUAUAUAUAUAGAGAGAGAGAGAGAGAGAGAAAGAAUAUAUGUGUGUGUGUGUGUGUGUGUGU
rnacentral:miRNA from 1 species